rnacentral:rRNA from 1 species
UACGGAGGAUGCAAGCGUUAUCCGGAUUUAUUGGGUUUAAUGGGUGCGUAGGCGGAUAUGUAAGUCAGCGGUGAAACUCACAGGCUCAACCUGUGCCGUGCCGUUGAAACUGUGUAUCUGGAAUGCGGAUGCUGUGGGAGGAAUGUGUAGUGUAGCGGUGAAAUGCAUAGAUAUUACACAGAACACCGAUUGCGAAGGCAUCUCACAAAGCCGUUAUUGACGCUGAGGCACGAAAGUGUGGGGA